UUGCAUCAUUUCCAUUCAUUAUAUGUGGA
rnacentral:piRNA from 1 species